GGUAUUCUACCAGAAUGGUGGCAUUCUAAGUGGACAACAGAUGUUCGUUCGAUUAUCGAAAAACUCCAGCAUAUUAGCACCGAGAUAGAGAUAUUCAAAGUACUUGGGGAAAGACGAGUAUAUUUAUUUUUAUAAUUUGUAAUUUGAGCAACUAUUGCAAUUAAAACAUCACUACCAUUAUCAAAAAUAAUAAUAUAUUUAAUAACAACAAUUAACAUCUCAUAUCUACCACUUCUGGUAAUACUAAAUUGCAAUCAGUCUCGCCUCAUAUAUUUGUAGAAAAAAGUAAAAACACACAGUCUAAACUCUAAGUCAAUUUUAAAAGGGAAAUUCCAUUAAAAUUGUCAAAAUAAAUUAUAGGAAUCAACGAACAACAAAAACAUUCAUCAUCACAGCCACAUUUGCAACUUCCUCUUAUUUCAAAUUUGUGUGUGUGAGAGAAAAUUGCUGACUGGUUCGAGUAGUUCGUUUAUACUUAUCACUGGUCUACAAACUUUUCCUCUCCAGGCGAAUUAUAUUUGAACCAGACCUCAAUGAAAAUGAGUCAACAAUUUUCAUGCUGGCGGAAAAAGGUUUACCUUUCGGCAUUUUAAAACCUUUGAAUAGACUUAUUAAGAAGGGAUAUAGUUACGAUACUGUUGUCAGGUCAUGAAAGAUUGCAUAUUUUGGCGUUAAUAUUGAUUCACUUAUAGGGUCUUUGCAUCGGAACAUUCAUACAAAAACCAGUUGUUGGCAUGACACGGGUUAUGUUCUUCUCAUAUAUGUUAUGAUGGUAUGAUGCUAAACCCCUAACGGGAAGGAUUGUGCCUGAUGUUCAUAUGAUGAAAUCAUAAUCUUUCAGUCAGUUUAAUUGAAGUCUGGAGCUGGCAUGUCAGUUAACUGCUAGUAGUCUGUUGUUAUUUAUGUAUUAUGACAUCAGAUUCGGACUUCUCUUGAACUGAAUUUUAAUGUGCGUAUUGUUAUGCGUUUACUUUUCUACAUUGGCUAGAGGUAUAGUUGGAGGGUUGAGAUCUCACAAACAUGUUAACCCCGCCGCAUGUUUGCGCCUGUCCCAAGUCAGGAGCCUCUGGCCUUUGUUAGUCUUGUAUUAUUUUUAAUUUUAGUUUCUUGUGUAACAAAUUUGGAAAUUAGUAUGGCGUUCAUUAUCACUGAACUAGCAUAUAUUUGUUUGGGGGCCAGCUGAAGGACACCUCCGGGUGCGGGAAUUUCUCGCUACAUUGAAGACCUGUUGGUGAUUUUCUGCUGUUUUUUUUCUAUGGUCGGGUUGUUGUCUCUUUGGCACAUUCCCCAUUUCCAUUCUCAAUUUUAAGGUUAAAAAAGGAAAAAAAGUUUUGCAAGUGGAGUAAGAACCAAAGAAACACACCAACCAAAAAUAUUAUGGAACCAUAAUAUCACCUCAGCUACAACAUCAUCACUAAUAUAAGAGCUUCUAUGGAUGCUACUUCCAUUACCACGGGCACACUAUCGCAAUUGCAUUGUUGUUCAUAUUGCCACUGCUUCUUUAAUAAAUAUUAGUGGUAGAAUAAUACUUAUACAACCCCUGCAUCACUGAUACAUGUAUCUACACUACUUUGAACAUAGAGGGACCUUGUCCAAUGAAAUGCCGAAAUAUACUGAAUAAAAGAACCCGUAAAGCUGAAUUUAUCAAUUCAGAAACUAUUCGGAAUAGAGCAUUAAAUACAUAGUGCGCCCAUUAUUUUGUUCAUUAUUUUAGGGAUUAAUUUGUGAUUUUCUGUAUAAAUAACGCAUCAUAUUAGCAAAGUUUUAUGUUAAAUGUCACGCUAAAAAAAUGUUUCACACGUUCAAGUGUCUCUGUAAAGUUCUACUUGAUAUUAUGAUGAAGUCUUGUCCCUAUUCUGUACUAAGGGAAUGAAUGUUUUUAUCAUUAUCUAAAAUAUCAAUUGGAAAAUAUAUUUUGUAUACUUCGUAUUUCAUAUUAGCAUAUUCUUGUUCGUCUAAUCAAAGAUAAUAAAUAAAUGCAACCAUUGUAAAAGAAGGACGAAAGGUACAAGAGGGACAGUCACCCUCAUAGAUCGAAAAGAAACCAAGGUUCCGUGUUGAAGGCCGUACAUUGACCUAUAAUGGUUUACUUUUAUAAAUUGUUAUUUGGAUGGAGAAUUGUUUCAUUGGCACUCAUACCACAUCUUCAUGUAUCUAUUGAUAAUCCCAUGGCUAAAAAAAAAGAAAAAGACAAACAAACAAAUGAUAGUACACAAGAUAUAACAAAUAAAACUAAAGACUUGGCAACUGGAACCCCAUAAAAGCAAGUGGUGAUACUGAAGGGUAAGCACAUUUUGCGAAUAGAAACUCAGUCAAUACGUCAUAAUCUGUUGUAAGACACAAACGGUAGAGUUACAAGUGAGACGAAAAUUUUGAUCCAAAACUCAAAAAACGUGUGGCUAGUGAUUUGAAGCAAAAUUUAUCCUAAAAGUAUCAAGUUUGAUAGCCAGUAGUAAACUAUAGCAUAUAUGCAGGAUUUGUUUGAGGUUUGUUUAAGGAAUUGGGGAGGAGGUUGAGGCGAGUUCAGAAAAUACAUACCAAGUGGCUUACUUAUAACUACUACGCUUUUGGAUUUGGGUCAUUUGAUAAUGGCAAAGAUCAUUAAUAAUUUUUAUUUUGACUGAAUCGAACACAUCUUGUUUGUGUUUGACACUUUAUCUUUAUCAUGUUCAUAAUCAACCUGUAUCUUGUUUCAGUUUUAUAUUUUCACCAGUAAACAACAUUAUGAAGAAUUCGAAACGCAACUUCCAAUGGGAGACAAGUCUAAGAUCCUUACACAAAUAUUAGAAUAAAGGAAGACUAACAGUCGGUUUAUCGUCUAACUAUGCUGACAUCUAACGUAUUUAUAAAUUGCUGAUGUCAUAAUAAAGUUUGAGAUUCAUUUUG
rnacentral:lncRNA from 1 species